UACGUAGGUGGCAAGCGUUGUCCGGAUUUACUGGGCGUAAAGGGCGUGCAGGCGGUCUGUUAAGUCUAGGGUGAAAGCUCCCGGCUCAACUGGGAGAGGUCCUUGGAUACUGGCGGACUUGAGGGAGGCAGAGGAAAGUGGAAUUCCCGGUGUAGUGGUGAAAUGCGUAGAUAUCCGGAGGAACACCGGUGGCGAAGGCGGCUUCCUGGACCGACACUGACGCUGAGGCGCGAAAGCUAGGGGAGCAAACGGG
rnacentral:rRNA from 1 species